rnacentral:rRNA from 1 species
UACGUUUUGAUUUUUAACUCUAUUUGUUGUAGUAUCUUAAGCUUUUAUAUAUUUUUUACUUUAUUUUUUGUAAAAUGUUUUAAUUUUAUUUUGUUUUUUUAAGAUAUUAAAAAUUUGGUUUUUGAACUGGAUUAGUACCCAGGUAAUCAAAGUUUAUUAAUUCGGGAGUAAAGUUUUGUUUAAACCGAAAAAAUAUUGACUGACCUUAGAUUUUUCUUUGGAAUAUGUGUUUUGCUGGAGAGCCCUCUUUUUUGGUGAAUUUUGUUGGCACAUGUAUGAUUGUUUAGUUUUUAUUUUAUUUUGUAAUGCUUUUUGUGUUGGCAUUUAAAACAGAUAUAUACUUGGCUUAUAAAUUUAUUUUUCAUGUGUUACUAUUAUAAAUUUUUUUUGGAUUAAUUUUUUAUUUUUUUUUGAAAUUGGAAAAGAAAGUAAUUUUUUCUUAAUGUUUUGAUGAAUUUAAUAAAUAAGGU